rfam:Myotis brandtii contig262560, whole genome shotgun sequence.
GGCCUCCCUCUGUGGGGCGAUCGAUCGCGGGGCCCCAGAUUGAUAGCCCUGCAGAGGGAGGCC